GGACGUCGCCGUACUUGGUGCGUCCGGUGGCCGUCUCAUGUUCAGAACCCGCGGACGGGGACGCUCCCUCCGGCCGCCCCACGGCUGAGGGAGAAACAUACCGAGGGGACGGAGGAAAUGGCGCAAAACGGACCCCAUACCUCGAUCUGUGCGACAUCUCCCUCACUCCAGCUAUCGCGGAGGCCAUCAUCCACCGCCAACAUGACACCUCGUCUUAAUGACUGCAAACGCCAUCCUCGACAGCCGCCUCUCCGGAGAGAUGCAGACUGCAAAGGAGUUUAAACGUUUUAGUUUUACAUUACCAACAACAACCUCCUACCCAUCAAUGAAGACCUCGACAGUAUCUCCUCGCUGCCAACGCAUGCCCCGGAUCCCCCAUCCUGCGGUUUGUCCCGUCACCGUCAUUGACUCUCAGCCAGAUCCGGAAGAACACUGGCGAACAGAGGCGAAUUUCCAGAAUAAACACCUCAUUCAAGACCUAUAAACAUUCAUCACACCUCCUGGCUUUGACUUUACUUCUCUAAGAACAUUGUCUAUAACCAUCGACUGCAUCGGAACAUCCACAGGUGGAUGCGCACAUUGCCUUCAUGAUUGGAAAAUUAAAAACAAGCCACAGUGUGCCAUUGUGGCCAUGCAAUCUGUUGUUGAAUAUGUGGGUUAUGAAAUUUUGAUGAAAAUAAUGAAAAUUAAAUGAAAUUUGCAUAAUUUGUUCGAAAUGAUGUUAAUUUGUGUAAUUGUGCAUAUAAAUUAUGCUAAUUCGAGAUAUAAUCGUAUUCAUUUAUGCGAGUGGGCGUGGUUAUGAUAAUGCAGGUCGUUAUGAUAAUCGGGCCCAGCCUCGGUGACGAAGGUUGGUUAUCAAUUGGAGCAAUUCAAUUAAUCGUAUGCGGUUAUGCAGGUGUUGUGAGCAUGAAUAAGGGAGUCAACUCGGCUCCGUUGUUUAACUCCGUAUUAUCAAUAAGGAUACGAUUAUUCCCGCUUUAACAUUUAUUGAUUAUGUGUGUUAGUGUGCUUAUGAUAGGUCCACCAAGGUUCAGAUCUCAAUCGCAGAACAAUUCGUAUGCGGAAUUUCAUAACGAAUCACACACAACUCUUCUGCUUUAAUCAAUUUAAUUUUCUAGCUAAACUUUAAUUUUUGGAUAAUAUGGGAACUCUCAAUCUCGGAAAUCAACACAGCAUUAACACGGUAACUAUCACGAUUGCGUUGUUUCACUUCAAUAACGGCACCUGUGGUUAAUUCCCGACGCGUAACGCAAUUAAUCGGUUGUUGAGAGAGGGAUUAAAACAUGCAGAACUAUUCUACCAAAACCUCUACUCUAUCAUAUGCAAAUUUGUAUACUUGAAUUGUUACACAACACGGCACUCGGUCAUUGAUCAUACGCGACCCUUAAUGCAAAUUCUUGUCACGUUGUUAACCAGUAGGACGAUUGAUUAUUAUGCAACGCUGUUCAUAUGAAAAGACACUCAAACCAUUAUUAUUCCUAAAGGCACAAAUAUGCGUUCAUUGAUUCGUCAUGUUCAUUCAUGGAUACAUCAGCAAGAUUAUGCAAUUAAAAACGAACGACUCAAUUACUCCCAAGUGACUGUAUUCACGUAACUCGAUGGCAACAACGUUUUCCUUUAUCAGCUAA